rnacentral:lncRNA from 1 species
GGGGAGAGUUGGAGAAUGGAGAAAAGGGAGACAAAACACAUGACAUCUACCCUACCAUUGAGAGAGUGCUUUAAGUCCUGACAGAAAAGAAAGAUCAUACGUCAGAAAACAGUAUUUACACCUGGUCUGAAAUACCAAUAUCUGCUAGACCUCAUCGUUCAGUUCAGAGAUUCCUGUCAGCAGACACAAUCUCCUUCUAUCUACUAGUUCCUGCACAAAAGGCUCCCAAGGCCUCCUUCUGAGGACCACUGACACUUAACUCCAAUGAAGAAUGAAGAAUUAGAGUCAAUUUAUUACCAGCAAGUUUGAAAACAUCCCAAAG